UCGUUGGAGACAAGCAUGUUUUUCACCAUUUUGUUCUUACAUUUUUCUAUAUUUCACCAAACUUUUGUCAAAGACGUCGAAGCUGUUUCAGAAGAUCAGGUUAUUAACAACACAAUGCAAUCGCAUUGGUAUUCAACUAUGUUUAUUAUACCAGUGGAGUUGCCCUAUAACAUUGUAUGUUCAAGUUGCAGAUCAAUCAGUCGCUAUUACUGCUUGCAAUCUUUUGUUUUGGGCCAAGGGGAGCCUCCAAACCCAGCGCUUAUGCUAAGAUUUGAAAUCUUCGACAAAGCAGUUGAAAAUACGCACACUAUUAAACGAUUGGCUUGUCAAGAAUGUGCGAAAAUUUUGGAGCCACUGCGUAAACAGCACAACCUUUUCUCAGCGAAACAUGGGUUGUUUAACCAGUACUGCAACUAUUUUACUUUGGGAUUCACAAAUGCGUUAUUGACUCCAAAAGAGUAUUUUGAUAAACUAACUGAUUACAGCGCGAAAAACAAAAGUUUGAAUUAUUUGAUGGCUUAUUACUCGGCGCCAUGUGAAGUCAAUGUAAUUAUUAAACUUGGUUUCGGAAUCGGCGAAUUACAACGAGACGUUGACCGAUUUGGAUUGCCAGCGCAACGAACUGGGAUCCCGUACCAACUAAAAGUAGGACACCAUUGGACGCCCAAAAUACCCUUUGAAAACCCUGGAGACUUUUUGACUUUCAAAUGGUUCAAGAAAAACGUUAUUUGUGCUGACCAACCCUGGAUCUGCAGCGAUGGAUCAGAAAACCAACGAGAAGAUUGGAGUGCAUGGUUUUGGAGAUUGUUCAAUGGCUAUUUUGAAAGACCCAACUUCGACUGAUUAAUUCAUUUUUGCUCCGACUUUCGAAGAAAGUGAGGAAUAUAUAUGCUAGGGGUGUUUUUAUUCAAACCAAUUUAUAAAACUCUGG